GGCUGAGCUGCUCCCGGCCCCGGGGCUGCUUUUGGCAAUGGUAGAACUCACACUGGUGCGGUAGCAGGAUCCGGUGGUUCUAGACUUGCCAACUACAGCCCCGGGGGAGCGCUGCGGAUUCGGGG
rnacentral:pre_miRNA from 10 species